rnacentral:lncRNA from 1 species
UUGGAGAAGCUCGACAAGAAGCAAAUGGAACUGGAAUCUGUGUCUUCUGAGCUGUCAGAAGCACUGAAAGCCCGGGACCAGCUUGCAGAGGAGCUUUCUGUCCUAAGGGGGGACGCAGAUCAAAUGAAGCAGGCUUUAGAGGCCGAGCUGCAGGAGCAAAGGCGUCACCACCAGCGUGAGGUUGACAGCAUCAGUGGGCAACAAGAAAUAAUCGUCCGCAGAACCGAGAAGGCACUGAAAGAUGAGAUCAGUCAGCUGGGGGGGCUCCUGAAGGAGAAGGACGAGCACCUCCAGGAGCGUCAGGCCCAGGUACACAAUCUUGAAGCUUGUCUUCAGAAGUCUGCUGAGGAGCUCCAGCAGGCCUUGGCCAAGCUGGACCUCCUCCAGGCUCAGCAGAGCACCACACAUGCGCAGACAGGCGCAUAUGAGGAGCAGCUGGCCCAAAUGCAGCAAAAGGUGUCGGACCUGGAAACAGAGAAGAACCUUCUGACCAAGCAGGUGGUUGAAGUGGAAACACAGAAGAAGCGUGUGUGUGUGGAAUUGGACGCUCAGAGAGCUCAGGUCCAGCAGCUCGAGAGACAGAGGAGUGAACUGGAGGACAAGGUCAAAUCCUUAGCCCAGCUCCAGGAGUCUCAGCUCAAGAACAGCCAUGUGGAGAAAGAGCAAGCACAGCAGAUCCUGACGGAAAAGGAAAAUGUCAUUUUACAGAUGCGAGAAGAACAGGCCAAGGAAAUCGAGAUCCUCAAACAGAAAUUGUUUUCUAAAGAAGAGAGCAUUAGUAUUUUACACGAGGAAUAUGAAACCAAAUUUAAAAAUCAGGAAAAAAGAAUGGAAAAAAUUAAGCAGAAAGCAAAAGAAAUGCAAGAAAUGAAGAAAAAGUUGUUGGAUCAGGAAGCCAAGCUUAAAAAAGAGCUUGAAAAUACUGUCCUAGAGCUUAGUCAGAAAGAGAAGCAGUUCAAUGCCAAAAUCCUGGAAAUGGCACAGGCUAACUCGGCUGGAAUUAGCGACACGGUGUCG